rnacentral:lncRNA from 10 species
AAAUGAGCCUCUUUGGGUCACUCUAGUUGCCGCCUCCCCUGCCCCAUGCCCACCCCCACUGCUCACUCAAGGCUAGCCUCUCUCAGUGGGUGACUGAGCUGUCUUCAGUGGAAGCCCGAGGCAGAUGCCACGCAAUUCUGGAGCUGGAUACGGCUGCCCACACGGGGACCCCAGCAUGCUGGACAGCAGAGAGACCCCACAGGAGAGCCGGCAGGACAUGAUUGUGAGGACCACCCAAGAAAAAUUGAAAACCAGGGCCGUGGAGAGAAUGGGAGAAGCCAACACAAGGCACUCGGCAUAGUACAUGUGCUUAGUAAGGAACCAAACCAAACAAAAAGACGAGCUUCUCGCCCAGCCCUGGGGGACCCAGUGGCAGGAACUGUCUCCCAAGGCUCUGCCAAGGAUGACGGCCAAAAAACUGCCUCUCCUGCCGCCCACCCUUCUUAUGUAAGAGCCACACAGGUGGGCAACUGGGUCCCGUGCCAUAUAGGUCAGAGGUAUCUGGGGCUACACCUCAACAGCAGCCCUAGGGCAGGCUGGGGCGGGUCCCCACUCAUGCCCAACCCCACUGCCUCAUCACCCGGAACCUGGGGCAUCCAC